GGCCCUAUAGCUCAGUGGUUAGAGCACUGGUCUUGUAAACCAGGGGUCGUGAGUUCAAUUCUCGCUGGGGCCU
rnacentral:tRNA from 1 species